AGGGAAUAGAUACCCUGGUAGUCCUGGCCAUAAACGAUGAACACUAGGUGUAGGAGGCUUCGACCCCUCUGCGCCGCCGCUAAACGCAUUAAGUGUUCCGCCUGGGGAGGUACGGCCGCAAGGUUAAAAACUACAAAGGAAAUUGACGGGGGCCCGGCCACAAGACAGUGGAGCAUGUGGUUUAAAAUUUCGAUGCUACGCGAAAAAACCUUAACCCUAGGGUUUGUACAUCCCACGUGUAAAUCCCCUACGAAAAUAAGGGGACCCCGUUCCGGUCGACUGGUGACAGGUGGGUGCAUGGUUGUCGUCAGCUCGUGCCGUGA
rnacentral:rRNA from 1 species